UACGUAGGUGGCAAGCGUUAUCCGGAAUUAUUGGGCGUAAAGCGCGCGCAGGUGGUUUCUUAAGUCUGAUGUGAAAGCCGACGGCUCAACCGUGGAGGGUCAUUGGAAACUGGGAGACUUGAGUGCAGAAGAGGAAAGUGGAAUUCCAUGUGUAGCGGUGAAAUGCGUAGAGAUAUGGAGGAACACCAGUGGCGAAGGCGACUUUCUGGUCUGUAACUGACACUGAGGCGCGAAAGCGUGGGGAGCAAACAGG
rnacentral:rRNA from 1 species